GAGCUAUCCGGCUAACUAGCUAUCCGUGGAGAAACGUUGGGAUAAAGAUUUGAAGAAUGGUUACUGAGGUGGACCUCAACAAGAAAACCCUGUGAGGAAAACCAUGUAACAGCGAUAAAACAACGUGUUUUCUCAAGCUGGAUGAAGAAACGAACCGUGCGAACUAAAGAAACGGCCGUACAAGCAGCGCGCUAUUGGAAGCUAACAUUAGCCGCGCUAGCUUAACAUUGGCUUCGCCAACCUAACGUUGGACGAGAGCAGCAGCUAAAGCUGAGCACGGAGCUGAUGAGUUUGAGGACGCACUUUGUCAAAAGCCACAUCAAGCCGACUGUCGGAGGUUGCUGCAGAGUUCACUCUCCCCCCCUUCGCCUCAAGGAAAGUCGUUCAGAGUGGGUCCAGUCCAGAUGUCAAGAAGUCUUCGGCUCCUGGGCAUCAUCUCUACCAGCUGCCUGUGACCAGCACUAG
rnacentral:lncRNA from 1 species